rnacentral:ncRNA from 1 species
UAGUGCCCGACGAAGGUCGGGAUAAUCGGGAAGACGGUGCAAAUCCGUCACAGCCCCCGCUACUGUGAGUGUCAAAGGGACAAACGUCACCGCAAGGGAAGACGCCCGCCGCUUGUCUUUGACAAGAGGUCACAAGCCAGGAGACCGGCUAAGCGAA